rnacentral:tRNA from 2 species
CGAGGCGUAGCGCAGCUGGUAGCGCGCAGCGUUCGGGACGCUGAGGUCGUGGGUUCGAUCCCCGUCGCCUCGACCA